UUAUCUUCUGUAAGUGAGGAGGGUGGUCUCUUGAGGUCAUGAAGAAGUUACAUGUAGAAAGAAAGGACAAACAGAAAUGGACAGAAAUUGAAGUGUCCUGAGAUUGCAUGAAUGAGUUUCAUUAGAUACACUUUUCAAAACUGCCCUGGAAGGAAAAAGGGAAGAACAUUUUGGUUAGGGUUUUGUCAGCAUCAUGUGGAAGGUCAGGUGAGAGAUAAAAGAUUAACAGCAGCAAGAUCAUGAGGUUGAAAGAAAUGCCUUUUCUCUCCAAGAGAAUGAUUGGACAGAGUUACUCUAUAAAUGCUAGAAAUCACAGAGCUGCAGUUAGGGAAUGGGUAUGAAAAAUAUUAUUGAGAACCAGCAUAAAAACUGAGGAUAAGAUAAACAGCAGCAAUGGAUCCAGUCAUAAUGUGGUCAGGUAGCAGGAAGCACAUUUAUCCUUUGAGCAGUACAAGAGAAGGAGGAGGAGGACUGAGGCAUUUGUCUUGGCAGGAGGCCCAUGAGAAAGUGAAGAGCCAAUGAAAGAUCUGAGGUGAGAUGGAAGACUGAAGAGAGAGAGCUGUCCUGUGAACAUGCUCGUUUUUGAAUUAGUUAGACCAAGAAAUGGAGGCAAAGCAUUUUGCUUACCUGGUCCAAACACAGAAGAAGGAAUAUUUAAAAGGACAUGAGGAGGGCAGACUCUCACAGGCAAAUCUUACCUUUUUCUCUGGAGCAAUAAAAACUGCCGUAGAAAGAAGACUUUGGAAGUAAGGUAAACGAGGUAAACACCACCGGUUAAAGAGAUGACUAUCCCCAGCAUGAACCAUUUUGGAUCCAAAUGCAACUUAGUUCCCUGCCAGUUCUUCACUUCACAGAACAGCAUAUGGAGACAUACUCAGAAAUGUUUUUUCUUGAAAAAGUUUUCUUCAGCUUUAAGAAACACUCAGACCACCAGCAUGCCAGGAACUCCUGUUCCAGUGCCACCAAGCAGCUGUAACCCAGGCUAAGGGGCAGCACCUAUCCCAGCCCUCUCAUACUGCCAGAACUGCAGGUGAAACAAGCAGUAAAGAGGAAACCAGACUCACAGGGAGGAAAGAAGAGGCAAGCAGGAAGAUGCCAAUAAAGGCAGACAAGACAGAAAAUGGAGGCAGAAAGAAAAGUUUGCACAUACUCAAGGGGCUCCACUGCUUUUCUGUGAUACUAAUGCCUCACUAGACCCAUAAGGAUUUUUGAAAUACACAAAAUAAAGAAACGGUGGUAGGAGAAGAACAAUUAAGGACAAAAAUGAGAAAAAAAUUACAGGAAUAAUUCUGCCUCAUUAGAGACAAAUUUCCCGUCAGGAACCAGUUAACAGGGACAGCCAGGAGCACCACUGACAAGCAGCAGCUUUGGAGGAAGGCAGUCGUGUAUUUAAAAAGGAAAAACCACCACGAAGAAGCCCACAAAAAAACCACAUUAUUUAUUUUUCUGGGAGCACAACAGCUUUUGCACUGUCUCCCCUUCCUUUUGAUGCUCACCAUCACUACUGAGAGUACAGCCUUGCAAGACACUGGAAGUACUGACUCAGGAGCUUGGAUGGUGCCAUAAAGUUAAUGCAACCAAACACUUCUGUCGUCUCAGUAAUGCUUCCAUCUUGCUAUCAGACCCAGAUCCUGAAAGAUCCUAGUGAGAAAUUACUCUUCAUUUUACAAGUGCCUCCUCUGCUGUCCCUGCAACAUGCCUGGCAGAGCCUUUUGAGCUUUAAGGUGACACUCAGUGUAAUGGUUGUGGAAAGUUAAGCACCGUUUCAACAACAGAAACUAAAAGCAGUCAGAGCAGAAGCAUUCAUUACAUGCACGGAAAAAGCAGACAGUGACUCUCCACUUUAGUCCUUUGUCUUGGAAGUUCAGCAGUGAAUUGGAGAAGCUUUCCACCUGCCUCAGCAUUGUGUGAAGUGUAAUGGAAUUGGGUCAGUUUGUUCACUGAAAUAUUCCUCUAAAAGAUACUGGCAUAGAUUCACCUUGGGGCUGACUGUGGUUUCUUUCAAUCAGUUACUGCAAAUUGAGCAGUUGUAAGAGCCAACUCUCUAUGGAGAGCCCAGGGGAUGCACUUUUCCUGCUUAUGACCAGCUGAAACUUCCUGAGCAGAAGGCAGCCAGACUUUCAGCAGGCAUAAAAUGCAGGUAUAGCUGCUGAAAGGGCAGCCCAUUUCCAGUACGUAGAUAACCCACCCGCUUCUUUCCUAUCUGUGUAUCCAGAUUUGCUUCCGUGGAAGUCUAGGUCAGCUGGGGAGAUGGUUGCAGCCUGGUCAUUUUCCAUAUGCAGGACUCUGAUGAACCAGGUCCCUGAGGGUAUGUGGACUUUACCAGUCAAGACACAGACACUCUGACUGAGUGUCAGCCUGCGUGGAUGGACCAGGAGAAAAUACUCCUUUAAUAAACACGUGAAAAAGGUUACUUCUUAUUGCCUGCUCCUCUGGCUCUUGACACUGAACUGCAAGGCUCUAGUAUUGAGAAGAGAUGUAAAAAAUUUACUAGAGGGUGAGUGGGUGUUACUCAGCAACUGCUUGGUACAAAGAAGCAGUACAUUGGAGUCAGCACUGAAAACUGGUGAAGAACACCGACUCUUUCAAACAUGAUUAGAAUUAAUGGUUUCACCAUUUACAUUUUGUGGAGGCAUGUCACCUGAACAUUUUUCGUUGGGUAGAAGCCUCACACUACUUAAAACACUGUGUCCUGAGGCACUCUUUUCUCCAGUAGAACAAUAACUCCCUCUGGUGUUUGCCUGCUGUUGUUACUGCCUCCGCCACAGCCCUGGAAAACCCUGCCAGAGGCAGGAAACCCUGUCAGAUGAUGUAUGAACUAUAAACAUUCUUUCCUUAACCGAUGGCAUUUUACGCUUUGGGCAGAAAGGCCAUUGCUUCCACCGGGCCGGCCCCAGGGGCACUCAGGUCCGGGAACAUCAUUACAUCGGGAAAAGUGGAAUGCCGAACUCCGCUGCUGCCGAGGGCUCAUGCUGCCAAAGACUCAUUUACAUGCUCCCUGCAUUUAUUUAAUUACAUGAACAGUAGGCUUAUUGCAAUGUGUCUGGAUGCUUUAUUUGAUGAAUGCUGGAACUUACCAAUCCAGUCCCGAGAGGGUUGGGAUACACAUAGGGAUAUGUCAAAUGGCUGGAUGAUAGUUCAGAGUUAAAAAUUGCUGUGCUCAGCUCUUGGGACAGACAAUGUGGAACUGUCAUUCAGCUGCAAACAUAUUUACAGGAAUGCUGUCACAGCUUUGAGGCUCAAAUCUGACCUACAAGUAAGUUGCAAGCUACAUCUGCAGGCAGAGGAAGAAAAAUGAGAUGCAAGAGAAUUAAGCUCCUGCCCUUUGGGCUAGAUCAUAUUGAUCUACUGGCAUAAUAAUGCUGAUUGUAAAUUUUCUUAAUCGAAAAUUUAUGAGAAAAUCAAAACUUUUAGUCUUAAAUAUAUAUUGCAGAAUAAUUUUUAAGUAGGCACUCAAUUUUUUUUUUUUUUAAGAUUUCAGCUGCUAUCAGAUGAUGGAAACAAAUCUCAAGACAAGAUGAAAUACACUAAAUGUUUGAGUCAUGCAUUUUGCCAAAGAGAAGAGGCUAUUUUGAUGGGAUGUUUAAUAUAAAUUUCUUCCUGUGAUCAUUCAACUGGAUGCUCACUCCAAACAGCCCAGAGGCUUUUUAUAUUUGACCUAAAUGUCUGGAUUUUUUUCUCUUUUCUUCAGCAUAUCACAGAACAGAAAUCUGUAAGCUGAUUAUUGUUGCUUAAUUCUCUUCUGAAUGCAAACAUCUUUGCAUAUUUCAGACACUGUUAUAUAGAGCUGAAAUCAGAAAAGCUAAAAGAGCUUGAGAGCUCAAUCUAAAUCCCAACUGUCUGGCUCUCUGGCCAAUGCCUUGUUUUAUACAAAGUGUGUAACCAUCCUACACCUUUGAUGUAAAACAACUCUCUUUUAAUGUGCUGUAAUCUCUUAUUCCCUUUGUCUCUCAAAUAAUAAUCCUCUUGCUCAUGGUAAUCCUUAAAAUCACAUAUGCUCUUUAAAGCUUUUCUUUUGGAAAGUAUUCACACCCAUUUUUCUGGGCACUGGCAACUAAAUAUUACAGACAACCUGAUUCUUCUGACUUUGACCAAGACAAUUGGAAUUUUUUGUAUUCCACAUUUACUGCUUGGCUGGAACUGGGUCAACAAAAUGAGCAAACAGUUUCUAGCUGUCCAACAGAACCACAGCGUGCGGACUGUUUAUUUGGCCAAGGCAGAGGCACAAGAUGUUUGGGAGAUUUAACAGGAAACAAGUAAAAUGACAUUUUUAUUUGGGUUAUAAAACAGAAAAUGAAGUUUAGUUGUCUAGAAUGAUUGAAGAACAUGUUCUCCUGGACUGUUGAAACAAGCUAGUAAAAGAAAAAUUCUCACCUCCUCAGCAGCAAUAAUCAAACCCUCUAGCACUGGCUCCUGGACACUUACAAACAUGCUACUGGCUACUCAAAGUUUCAUUUUAAUUUAGGUAUUGCCACCUUAAAUCAGAGGUAGAGAUUGAGACCAGAAUUACUUAAUCAGAUCAGCAUGUUGAAUUAAAUGAUCUAAUAAUGACAAAAGGUGAUGAUUAGAAUGGAAGUCUCAUCAGGUCAGAUGUAAUAUCCUAAGUGACAUAAACUGCAUAAUUGCAGGACAUGAUGAGUAUGAGCCUAAGAGUUCAAAAAGAGAGACCUUUUAAAAGGUCUUAGAAGAUCUUCUUUAUUUGUUGAUAAAUGUGCACAUUGCCAUAAGGAAUUUGUAGCAAGCUAGGAGGAGUGCCGAGGCACAGCUUCCAAUGAUACAACAGCACAACCUGCUGAUCAAACCACCUCAUCUUGUCUGUCCAAGCCCAGCCAGUUUGUCUCGCUCACUCCCCAAAAGACCAAGUACAGAAAUUUCUCCACGUUUGCUUUUUACAGAGAGCAGGGUCUGCUGUUCUGUCAGCAGGAUAGAUCCUGGAUCUACUCCUGAUAUUUAGGACCAUUUUACUUUUUUGCCCUUGUUGGAAGGUGCUUCCCCCCAUCCUUGGGCAUGGGAAUUACCCAUCCAUAACCCCUCUGCAUUGAUUUGUCUACACAGACAUGUUAUCCCCCCUCUCCUGAGCCAUCAGAGCAGGCAGAGGGAGGGAUCAGUCCUGGGCUCUGGGUCAGCUGCUGACUCACAGCAGCUGCCCCGGGGAUGAUGGAUACACAGACUCCAGCUGAACAGCACAGCUCUCUGGCGUCACUAACUGGAGUUAGGGUUUCACUGUGCUUGUAAUCUGAUCUGGUCACUACAAGAGACUUAAAGUUGCUCCUGAAGUUCUGUGAAACUCUCAUUCUAGGAAAAAACCAAGGUAAUUUUGCACUUCCUUCCUAUAGAUUAUAACCUACACCUCACGAGUCACAAGCCAGAACACAAACUUCCCACUUUUGAGAGUCUGAAGAAAGGGAUCUUGAUGGUUUCUCAACCUAAGCAGCUUUGAACUUUUGAUGUUCAGGGAUGCCUCACAGACCUGCAGGUCCCUCUUUGCAGUGAACUAUGGUAGCUCAAAGAACGCCACCCAAGCUUAACUGGAACAAUAAAUAGUACCAAUAAAUACUCCAAGCUGAAGUGGGCUGCAUGUGGGAAUCAGGCAGUACUAUUUCUAAAAGAAAGGCAGGAAAUUAGGCUCUCUUAUGCCAUUUCAAAUGUUUACAGUAAAUCAGCAAAAUUAAUGGUUGUAGCAGAUAGAAACUCUGCUCUGACUGAGAAAUUCACUGUACUCCAAGCAAACUAGCCAAAUAUUAAUUUCCUUACAGCUGUUUUCACCAUUUAUUUCCUUGAUUUCCCAAAACGAUGUCAGCUGAAUUUUCUCAUGAGUGCAAACAUUUGUGUUGCAAAAAAUACGAAACUCAAGAAUUUAAUCCAUUUUUAGGAAAUAAAGUUAACUUAUCAACUAUAAGUGCUAAUCUUCCCAUCUCACAUGAAAUCCAGAAACUUGAGAUAGAUAUAAAAAACGUAGGUAACUUGACUCUUUGCACAAAGAUUUAGAUUCUAAUCUUUGAUGGCAAACACUUGUCAAAAAGAACCAGGUUUAAUUUGGUGAGCAGAAAAAAAAGUGAGGUAUAACACCAAGGUUACAAACAAGAUCCCAUGGAAGAUGCUGAACAAAAUUUUCCAUGCAGAUGUACCAAAGCAUACAAAAAAAAGGAACCUCAUUUCUUCCAUUUCUCUCUCUAAGGAGGAUCAAAACUCCAGCUAUCACAGGGAGCUUGCUUUUUUUAAUCAUCAUUGAAGUGACAACAAAAAAUUCUAGUCUGCCAAACCUUAAUUAAGUAACCACUUUUCCAAUCUUUGUUAGCAGUGUAUUGAUUAGACAAGCAUAACUAUUAAAUUUCGAAAUAUGUUGCUUUUUUCAGUUUCUGAACUUUCAAAAUCCAUGACUUCACUCCUAAAUCACUUCUAAUGUUGAUUGAAAAACAAUUUAUUGAAGUAACUAUAUAUUAAAAAAAAUUAAAUCUUAACUGAAAUGAGGUCGAAUGAACAGAAGUAGAGGCAAAUUUAAUAUCAUGGCAUAUAUGCUAAUACUAUGAGAAGAAGAAAACUUUAGUAUUCAGAUGGGAAGCUUAAUGGUAUCAGCACUCACAAGACUAGAAUCAGAAGGUCUAGAGUAAAAUUCAAGCUCCAAUUCCUUUUUAUUUCAGUUUUUUUUUCAUCACUGAUACAGGGCCAAUAAUCCUUACUUUUCUCAUUUGUGAAUUGUUGCAAGGAUGAAAAAUACAAUGUCAAUGUUGAGUACUAUCAUAAUUAGCUUUAUAAGUGGGAACGGAAUCAUGAAGAUCUAUUAUAAAAGUAAAGAAAUUGGGUAUUUGAAACCAUAAAUGCACAACAAUGAACACAUCAGGAAAUAGUCUGGUGAGGAAGAGAAAUGAAUAAUUUUUUUUCCUGGUAAUGAAGCAAAAUUUCACAAAUCACCAUAUGAAUUUUUCCUCUUAUUUCAAACUAAGGAGAUCCAUUCUGAAAAUGCUUAUGGAACAAUUUUUGAAAAUUAAUACUAUCAUAAGUGCAAGUAUCUUUUGAUGUAUGUAUGGGUAGAGUCUGAGAUUUUCACUUUACAGAAAAGUGGUUGCAUUGACAAGGAGCAGGAUUAUGUAAUUAGUAAAAUCUUGUAGUUCAGUGAAUUCUAAAGCAGCUAGUGAUAGAUGAAAAAGGAAAUUACAAAGUCCUUUUUAAUUAUCUCUCUGUAUUAAAAAAAAAUAAAUUAACUGUUCUCACCUGGAGAAUUCACAGAGGACACAAAUAGCAUAAUAGUAGAACUAACCACAGACGAAAAAAAAACCAAACUCCUUAAAAUAUUAAAAUUAAUGUAAGCAAAACUCAUCAGUUUAAGAUAACACAUGACAAGCAUAAUUGGCUUAUUAUUUGUCCAGGCAGUCAGUAGAACAAGAAGGAUGACAAACCUUACAAGUUACAGCAAUUUAUCAGUUGCUUAUAAAAUAGUUUAGUCAUACUGCCCUAUAAAAGUGUAUGUCUAUAUAUCAGGCAAAGGACUGAUUUUGUUUUUUGAAUCAGAGACAUCAGCUGUUUACCUCUUCCCUGCAGUGGAUUUUUAGGAUUCACUCCACUGACAAACUUGGGAGUAAAUGCUUUGGCAACUCUGUCCCUUUAACUUUUUCACUCCUAAUCUCAGCAAAACUUCACAGCAGCCAUCACCUGCUUAUCAUUCAAAACAAUGUUACUUAGUGGCCUUUGGCAAGUUUUCUUUCAGUCAAAAUUAAUCCUCCUUUUCCAUCUACAGCUGAAACACAGAAAUUCCAACUCAACUCAUGUUCUAGGUAUUUCUAAAUCAAUAUGAAGGCUUAAACUUCCAUGUGAUUUUUAUGUUUAGGUUGCAGAAACAGGCACUGAUGUAGUUAUUCUUUCAAAAAUAAAUUCAAGGUCAUCCUAAAUUUUGUUCUUUAAAAAAAACAACUUUAGAAGCAAUGAAGUAAAUCUGGAAUACAGCACAGGUAACCCGUACCAAAGUGUAUGAACUGCAUACACUAUUUGGUAUGGAUAUGUCAAUGCUUUUUGUGAGCUGAGGAUUUCUCUGUACGUUGUAUAAGAAGAUAGGACCAAAAUGACAGAAUUUUAAAAGUGACUCUAAAGCGAUUAGAUUUUUCAUGGUUACCUGUGUGGUCCUAUACCUUUAUUUCCUGAUUAAAAUGUAGACAAAUGCUAAAGUGAACCAACUGGACAUCAAAAGUAGAACACCAUGAUAUCACAAGUGCUUGUGUACCAGCUGUGACUGCUGAUAAAAGAUGAAAAGUGGCUUGGUGAGCACUUCCACCAGCUCCCUCAGUAGCCUUGGGUGAUCCCAGCCAGCCCCAUGGAACUGUGUGUGUCUAAGUAAUGCAGGAGGUCACUGACCAUUUCCCCUUGGAUUAUGGGGGUUCUGCUCCCUGUUCCAGGCAUCCAGCUCAGGGGCUGGAUACCUGGAGAACAACUGAUCUUACAAAGACUGAGACUAAGAAGGUAUUAGGUAGCUUGGCCUUUUCCUCACCCAUGCAGAUGUUUUCCUUUCCAUUUCAAAGCAGCCUUAAAACCUUCAGUUAAGAUAUGCAGGUCUAUCACUAUGUCAAAUCCUAAGCUUUUACCACCAACCACAUGAUUAGUAUUGUCAGAUCUGUCCAAAUUCAACAGCUUCAGUAGAUAUUAAAUGCAGUAGCACCAACUCUGUUGUCACAGCUGGUUGGCUGUAGCAGGACUUGCCACAGGACCCAACCCCUCUGUGAGGGUUCCAAGCCUCCCUGUCUCCUUCUGCUCCCAGAAGUCCCUUGGGAUGACUUUCUGGGCUUUUCAUCUUCUCUAAAACACCCUGGGAGAGCUUGAGCACAGGGCAAGCUUUCUUGGUGAUGGAGCAGCAGUGAAGGGAUUUAACAGGUGGCUGGUGGCUCGGCUUUCUGUUUAAUUGACCAUCCUAAUGCUGUUGAGAUCAAAUUAUACUGUUUACAGUGUGUUAUGAAACACUACUUUGGACAGGCUAUUUUUCAUUAUUACUGAAAUCAAGUAACUGAAUGCAAAGGACAGCUGUGCAAGAAACAUAUUUUGUGGACAACACAGUAUUGUAUUACACUAUACUAUCAAAAGGCACCCAGUGAAUGUCAGGGUGUGUAAGUUUUCACUGGCUCAAGUCUUCUGAAACCACAUCUUUCCUGAAUGAAGGCAUAUUACAAGAAAAACAAAACCAAAAAAAUUGAAUUUCAGUUUUCAAAGAGUUUCUUCUACAGUUGCUACAUACUCAACUCUUUAUGGGACCAUUUGAAAUCAUAAAACCAAAUAUAUAUAUAUAUAUAUAUAUAUAUAUAUAUCUAUAUAUGCCUUAUGAAAUCUUUUCAUGGCAGAAAUUGAUAAUUUCAACUUUGAUACAUCAGGGCCUUACAGGAUUUGAAAGAAGCAGCUGCACAGAAUAAUUAGGCAGCUGGAGAUCAACCUUCUGCAGCAAUCUAAAGCUCCAGUUUCUGAGCCUGCAGGGAUAUGCGAUAUCAGAUUUUAAGCAGUGACGUCUUAACAUGCAGAAGAGCUGUCACUGCUGUUUUCAGUUUCAAGAAGGAAAUUAUUUCUGGGGGCAGAGCCAAAUUUAAAGAGGAAACAUUUUGGGAGAGUAUUAAAGCUAAAGCUGGAAGCUCUUUGAAAUGGCAAACAUGUUUGAAACAGCAAAGUUUAAGCCUUUCCUUUAAACAUUACUUAUCACUACUUCUACCUUUCCCAAAAUACUUGAUUUUUAACCUUGUUUACACUGUGUUCUAGUGAAUUUUUGUGUGAUAAGGCUUGCAACUCAAUCAUAACUUGAAAAAAUCAUAACAGCUUAUGGGAUCAACUUUAUUCCAGCCUUUUUCAGCCUCUGCAUUUCUUUUAAAGAAUAGCUUUUUUAUCUUUGAGAUUUUCUUAGGAUGAUUGGUUAAAUCUGUAGACCAUUAAAUACUGCACAGAGAGCAUAAAAAGUGCUCUACAUGUACCAACACUGGAUGCUGAAAAACCGGGGAACCUCUCUGAGAGCUAGUCAGGUACUGUAGGAUUCCCAACAGUGCAUGGCUGCAUUUGCAUCCUCUGCCUAUAAACAAACUCCAUAUGACAGUGGAAAUAACUUAGAGUCUCAUUAUUAACACAAAUUGUUAUAAAAUCCAAACACUGAAGAUCCCAGAGAAAACCACACACAGAGAGGCAUAAGCUACAAUUUAAAUUAAAUUAAAGCUUGGGAGAAAUCAGAGGACAGAAGAUUAGUUAUGCAGUUUAUAUUAUAUAUUUUUCUGUGUAAUCAAUAUAGCCAUCUAUCUGCACAUAAUAUAUGCCCUGUACUCAAUCUGUAAAAAAAACCCCACAGCCCUUAUAAGUCUUUAUUCAACCCUAUUGGCUAUUUCUUCAUAAAAUGGCUACUAAUUCAGUAGAGAUUGGGUGCAGGAGGUAAUCACCUCCUGCCUGCAAAGGAGAGCUCCCUGUGACUUCAGUUCUACCUCAGCAAUUAACCAAGCACUUAAAUAAGCAUUUCCAGCCUAAGACACAAGUUCAAAGCAGGCAGACAUGCUCCUGCCCAUGGCAGGGUGUUGGAACUAGCUGAUCUUUAAAGGUCCCUUCCAGCCCAAUCUCAGAUUCUGUGUCACUCUGAUACCUGCAGGAAAUUGCUUGUUUAAUACCACACAGGAGUUUUGUGUCAAAUGCAGGGAACAAUCCAACUCCACAGGGCAGCUUUCGUCUGCCUUCCUGAGCAAUUUUCACUCACAGCUUCUUCAUCAAAAUGUUCUCAGUCUUAUUAAUUUCUAUCCCAUCUUGUUGAGUCACUUUGAAUUUCCUUUGAAUUUCAUUUUAAAAGCCAACUACUUCAGGUCAAAGUCUAGUAAAAUUUAUCUUUUCAAGUUUAAAAGCUCUUCUGAGUCUUUUUGGGAAACUCACUAUAAGGAAUAGGAUGAAAAUCAUCUACCUCAAAAGAUAACAGACUUGAGGUUCUCUCCCAGCUGGUCCCAGCUGAAUAUCCCUACGAUCAUGGUGGGUCCUCUUUGAGACCACAGUUUAACACUCUUCCUACUGUGGCUUGCACCUAAGUCUUCUUGCCUCGUCUGUCACUACCAUCUGAAUUUUUAGUCCCAGGCUUACAAAAAUGCCAUUCUGUCUCCUUGUCUAUCUCAAGAGUCAACAAGCAGUUUAUAGGUAUCCUAUGGGGUGACUACUUUGUCUUCCUGAUAUUUGCUCUUGCAUGUCCCCAAGAGAGCUGGCUUAGGCAAACACUUGGCCCUGGAGUUAAACAUCUGUUUUCCAAUUUUUUUUUUAAAAACAAAGUACAUCACCAUGGCCUGGUACUUGAGAGGGUUUUUUUCCUUCAGCCAGUGAGAAAGCUUUCAUUUUUUGAAGAAAAAUAUCUUGUGGAACAUGUUAUGCAUUAUCUUUCUCUUUUAAAGAUGACCAUGAAAGACACCAAGUGCUUACAUUCUGCUCUAGUCUCUUUAUUAGGAAGCAAUGCUUGCUACAAGCAGGACUUUGAGGAAAUCAGGCAUCCAUACACUGAGGAUCUCUGGAAGAAAUUAUUAGCUCUUUGCUUUAAGUGAUUCCCUUUGUUCCCACAUGAGCAUAUAUGCAUAAGUCAAACCAGCUGUUCUUAGGCCUCACAAAAGUGAGCUUUCUCUGUGGGAAUUUAAAAGGCCAGAGAGCUCCAGUACUGCUUAGUAGGGCUUAUUGCUGAUGGUAAUGAAGAACAAUUGGGUCAGAGGAGGAAGCAGCCACCUCUCAUUUUCAUCACUGGUCUGCUGGAAAGCUGUGACCCACAUUUGCAGUUACUUCCAAGGAAGUUCUCAUUUUAUCCAUUUCCAGUUUGAGAUGAUCCUUUGUCAAAAGCAUAAGCAGGUAUCCUCCAGGGAAAUGUGGAUUCAUACUGCAGCUUUCUGCCUGGGACCAAUUUGUUCACUAAAUUAGGGGUGGAAGUAAUGCAAGUUGUUGAUGCAAGGAAUGUAGACAGGAAAAUCCAUUUAGAAAUCUUUCAAGAUUGAAUAAAGCUGACAAAUUAAAAAUUCACAAAACUGAGGCACAAUAACAACUUUCAAGAAAAUAAGCAUUGUUAAUACCAAAUUUGCAAAGCUCUGCACUAGAACAGGCACAUAUCAGGUAGAGCACCUUUUGAAGUAUUUUAAUAGCUUUCCAAAUCAAAAACGUCUUUCACAUUCCUUGUUUCCAGGAUCAGAUGUCAGUCUCCUUGGAAGCAGGAGGUGCAGCCGAUACCAUCCGCUGUUUCACUUUCAACAGCACCGGCUCAUCGUGACUUUCCAAGCAUUCCCCUCUUUCUGUUUUUCUAAACCUUGUGAGAACAGUUUUCAUUUUCGCACAUGACGGGGGGUGAUGGUACCAAGGCAGUUGCAUGACUUCCAGAAAAGUGAAAGACAAAGGGCACCCUUUGGCUGCACUGCAGCUCACACUCAGCUGAACCGCACUCCUCGGAACUGUCUGUCCUCAGCGCUGCCUGCAGCUGUGAAAUCCAGAGUGUGCCUUGGCUGCUGCGAGCUCCAGCACGACAUGGUCACACAUGGCAGCCUGUCAGGCACUCAGGCCGUGGAGGAACCAGUGCUAAGCACACCUGUAUGAUUUUGUUGUGAUUCCACAGGUAUCCUCAGCUGCUCAGCUUCAAAAGACAUGAGACUAAUGGGCUUACUUCUAUAUGCAAAGAGAAUUAUCUAGGAUAUAUUUAUUUUAGGGCAAAAUUCAUUUUGCCUACGGAAAUAAUUUUACCUUCAGUGUGCAGUAAGAGUUUUUCACGUUUCAGUUAGGGUACACUGAAAAAAAAAAAGGAAUUAGCCUAUAACUUUCUGGAUAUCAGAGCUACACUUAAUUCAAAGUACUGCUGUUAUUAUCAACCUAAUUCUUGUAAAAGGAACUGUAUUUGUUUCAAACCCAGUUAAGAGUUUUGUAUCUUGUGCUGGAGCAGACUCUUAUGACCAAUUCUGACCCAUUAGCAAGAGGAGGGUUCCCUGAAAGCAUCAAAUGAGGUGAAUCACUACGUGCAAAUGCAGUUAUUAAAAAACUUGACUCUGUGCCACACAGUUCAUGCACCUGAAUGAACCAUAGGCCUUGCUCUCACCAUAAAUGUUACAUUUUAAAAUCUGUAAGUUGGAAGAACACAAUAUACUGUAAUUGUACUGUAUCUGUAACAACUUGCUCAAGAAGAGAUUUUUGUAAAAGAACUAUCGAGAAGUGGAACUGAGCCAACCAGAUUACUGGCAAAGCUUCCUGCUGAAUAUGAUUAGAUAAAGGGAGAAUGGAGACUGGAGAAAAUUUAUCCUCUCAGCAGAAUUUGCCAUAAUUAUACACAGGAUGGGGAAUUAGUUAUUAUUCUGCUGUUAAAACCCUCAAGUGGCCAGAAGAAAUAUUCUUGCAUAAUCUGCUUUUUCAAUCUAGUCCAUGUAAAAUGAAGAUCACGUUAAGAAAAAUGGAGAUGCGGCUGACCAAGUUCUAUAAUUUUUUGCCCUAAAGGUUAGACAUGGGAAAGGGGUAUUGGGAUUGCCUUACCAGCACUUCUUCAAUAGCCAGCUAACUUUUGAUUAACAGAAAUUUUCAUUUUAAGUAGUAAAAUCAUGAAUUUCACACAUGCUACACAGGAAAGCCUCACCUCAAAUGCUAUUCUGUGAAAGCAACAUCUUUGUGAUGGUUCAUUGCCAGCCUGACCUGAACUCUGCCUCCUCACAUUGUUGGGACUGAAAUUCUCAUGUUUUUACUAACACAACAGGAUUUCUGUGAUUGCAAAUUUCUGUUUUUGCAAGGAACACAUAGCUUGGAGCUUUCUCAUUGCUGCCUUAUGCAAGUGGAAAUGGUGUAAUAAGAUGAAAUAAGAAUUCAGAAAAGAUACAGAAGAUUCAUUAACACAACAGGGAAUAGGAUAUAUAGCUUAGCAAGAAGGGUGGGGGGGAAUUGCUCUUGAUGCUACUGAGUGCAGUGAAACAGCAAUAGCAAAAUGGUGAGAGGCGGGCACUGCUGGCCCAUGGGCCAACAGCUGAGUUUGGUGACAGAGGGACUGUGAGCCCAGCUGCACAAGUGGAACCCACCUCAGUUCCAAAAAUCAGAAACAGUUACAUAAUUAUUCAAACUAGCCACAUGGAACAGAAUCAGAGGAAAAGGAAACAAAAGAAAGAAGCUGUGAAAAAGGACAGCUUGUCUGAAGGAUAAUUAUAUGCAGUUAAAAAGAGCUAGGAAAAAAGUACUGGUAUUGUAUGCUUACAGAUUAGCAAUGAUCUUUCUUUAAAUGCAGUCUGUGCUAGUUAUCCCCAUUUCUUCCAUUUCAGAAGUUGCAAACAUGAUGAUUUCAUAGGUCAUGAUUGAGUGGGUGACCUUAGCUGCUGUAUUUCUACACGCUACCCUCUCCUGUGUGCUGAGAUGGCCUCACUAUAAUUCCACUAAUUAAAAUACAAAAAGGAAAAAAAAAUGGAAAAGGAAAUUUGAUUUCCUAGUAGGGACCCAGAAAAAUCUCUCAAGCUGUCAGAGCUGAAACACUGUCUUCUCCACUUCACUUCCUGCUUGUAACCCAAUUCCCUUUCUUCAGACAGGAAUGACACUUGUCUGCUGGAGCUGCCCUGUUCAACAACACAUUGGACUGGGAAUUGAAAGAGAGUUCUUCUUCGAGAUAACCAGAAAGGUGCAACUGGAGGAAACAAAAAAAUUAAAAUACAUGCAAAAUUUAGAGGAAAUGACUGUUACAGACAUGGGUGAUUAAUAUGCAUGUGCACAGUGGGCAAUGUUGCACACCAGUAUCAUUAUGCAAUAAUGCUUUUAGCAGAUAUAAAAUAUGACUAUAUAAAUGAUGGGCAUCUGAAUACUGUCUGAAGAGUCUGUAGUCUGACUUCUGGAGGAUUAUUGAUGGCUGACAAACUAAAAUAUAUCUACAUUUUUCAUAGGCAGCAAAAGAUGACAGAUAAAAAUCUAUGAGACUAGAUUAAAUAUCAUCAUUAGAGGAGGACACAUCAUUAGUUUUCUCUAAAACAGUAUCAAAGAAUGGUUGGAGAGCUAUUAUCUGUAAAAAUCAGAAUAAAUGUCCUAGGAAAAACGGUGACUGACAUGAGUGUCGUGAGGUCAUCAGAUACAGUUUACUAAACAGCAGUUUUUAUUGAGGAAAUGAGCCAUGCCAUUAGCUUCAGCCUGUCCCCAAACAAAUCUUCAUUAACUAACCACUUCUGUGAAGCCUGGCAAACAGCUCAGUCUGAUUAUUGUGGGAAGUCAUCAGGGACUGCACCAGAGAAACCAGUGUAAAUGCAGCUCCAGGAGAAGACAUGCCAGUCGCCUUCAACUUCAACAAGUAUUAAAAUAUUAAUUCAGUGGAAUUAAACAGGAAAUCUUCAGUAAAGAGGGUAAAGAUGAAUCAAAGUGUAUGAAAUAAAAAGUAUUUUAUAAAACACAUUUUAAGCAGACGAACUGAUAAGAAUCAGCAAAGCAGCUAAAGUGUAAGUGGAAAGCUGACUGGCAGAUGAUGUGCAUCAGCAGCACACAAGGCAUUAGCAGGCCUUGUCCUAUAAAAUUAUUCAAUGACAUUACCACUUUUGCAACCUGAACUUAUUUUCACUUAAUCUGAGAAAUGCAACACUUUCCGUUUUUUGAUGAAAAGCCAUAGUUUUUUAACUUACUGCAAUUUUAGGAAGAUGUAUGCUAAUUUGGAUUUGCAAAAUUUCUACCAACUGCCCCAGUAGAAAGAUACCCACUUAUUCCUGAGACUUUAUCAAAAAGCAAACAUACGCCAGUUUUAUUUUACAAGUGAAAUGUUUUUUAUAACAAUAUGAAUGAGCUAGAUAUUGCUGACUGUUUGAAUUAAUAACUUCCCUGGGUUUUUUUCUCUCUCCUAAGAAGCAUAUUGUCAUGCUCCAAUAAUAAUAAUAGACUUUUCAGGAGAAUAAAAUUAGAUGUAAAAGAUGAAGCGAGAUUAUGCUGAUACAGCCAGUACACUUCAGUGUCAGAAGCUGACUAUGCCUCAGGCACCAAAUUUGUUAAUGUAAUGCUGGAAAUGAGAAAAAGGAAGCCUAGAUCAGGUGGGUAUGCCCACUCCUGCACCCAUAAUUAAUGUCACAUGUUCCCAAUUACCACACAUGUUAUUUUUUAAACACACUGGGGUUUUUUUGGAAAUUAGUGGUGGUAAUUGACAAUUUCAAUUACAUACAUUUUGGCUUCAAUAAAAAAUACUUUAUUCUUGUGCAUCUGCAUAGGCAUUGGCCAGAAUGUCACCCUAAAAGUGUUCUUGACACUUUUCCAUGUCUGCUGAAGAGGCGGUUGUCUGAAGAUGGAGUCAGGAUUCCUCUCCACAUCAGCAACAGCUGGCAAAGUUAGUUGUUUGCCAGUUCUUCAAAAGACAUGUAUGUACCAAACUUAAUGUGCAGAGGAGGAAAUAACAAAUGGUCUGGGAGAAGUGCACAUGAUUGCAGUGCAAAUAGAAACAACCCCUUUAAUGGAGUCAUGCUAGUUUGCAAUGGGUGGUCUUUUUUAUCAUUGUUUAGCACACAUAUAUGAAAUGUUGUGGCUGUGGUCAAUUCUCAAUAUGGUGUUAUGGACAACGGCACUCAGUUUUCCUCCAUCUUGUUCUGCUGAGCAUCAUCUCGUUAAUCAUGAAGAAGGAAAGAUACAGUUGCCCAUUCAAUCUCUUCCAUUUAUAGAUGUGACAGAAACAAUCCUGACAUUGGGCAAUAAAAUCAGUUUUUAUUUUGCCGCAAAUUUGCCUGCUACUGCAGGAUAGGGGAAGUGUAAAUAUUUACCUCAUUGACGCUUCUCAGGAUCUAAUUUUUUUUUAGCAGCGAAAUGGAAAAAAAAACCCCAACCCCAAAAUCUGAAAAGAUUCCCUGGAAAUUGUUUCGCAAUCCAUGUCUGUAUUAUGCCCUAGAAUGUCAUUGUCCAAUUUAAGAUUUCAACAGCAAAAGGACUAGAAAAGCUUACAUUUGUUUCUUCUAAAAAAAUAUCCUAAACUGGAUUCCAACAGGUUCAUGCUCCUGCCCUAGACUCCUCUGCUUGUAAAGGUACUGGCAGUGAAAUAGAGGAGUCGGAUGCUUCUGUGACACCAGGCAUACAGAAAUCAUGAACUGAUGCUACGAUGGUGGCAGCUGAGGACACUCAGCACCUUACACAACUGGACCCUCAGUGAGCAAAUUCUGCAGGAAAAGAAAGACAUGUCUCAGCUUUGUAACUUAACAGACUGCCCUGGUCUGCAAUAUUGUACUUAAAAUAUUAAGACAUGUAUCUGCAGAACAGAUGGGAGAAAGCAUUCCCCUUCAUUUGAUGAAAUUCCAACACUGCUGCUGUGGUCCCAAAAAUUCCCACAGCUAUUCAAGCUUUCUAUCCAGUGCCUACUUAUCUGUCAUGUUCAUUAUUUUCCAUUCACUAGUUUUGCCAGCCCUUUGAAGGCAAUAAAGGGAUUCUGGACACCAUUAACUUGACGACCAUUUCAUAUCCUUCUAUAUCUCCUGCCUGCAGGAAAAAUGUAAUCUCAUCACAACCAGAAAAUAUGUUCUAAAACAAAUGUCAAAACCUGUCUACACUGGGAACUCAAACAGCAUCAAUAAAACAUACUAGACAGCAUAUCAUCUCCACCUAGUCUACACACCAAUUCAUACACGAUCAAGUAAUAAGGAGACAAAAGUAUUUUGGAAAAAUUCAGUUUCAAAGCUCCAUGCAUCUGUUUCUCACCAUCAGCUAUUCACACAGAGAAAGGUGUUACUGAUUCUACAUAAUGAAUGAUUUUUUGAAGUGCAGGACACAAUUCUGUUUUAUGAAACUCUUCUGGACCUACUUUGCUACUCAAAAUCUGUAUUUUUCCUUUGUCCUUCCCCUUUUGUCAAUUCUUCUCACUUUUUUUACUUAACCAUCAAACUCUUUGCCCUUCAAUGAAAGCAGGUAUGUUGAAUUAGGAAAAAAAAAAGGUGUUAGGAGUAAAAACUGCUUUAACUGCUAAGUAUUUACAGAUACACAUUUUCUCCAGUGGUGCAUGUCACCUGUAAGGCGGGCUAUUGUAUUCUAUUAAAUAAAUAAAAAAAAAGACCACGCACAUGUUUUCAGAUUCAGUUCACCCUACAGGUAUUCCUUGACGAUGCCACACAAACUCACAGGACGUGAGAGCAACCUUUGCACUCACUGAGAGCCUCCUCAGCUAAAGCAGCCGUAAGGGAGAUCCACACUUCUGGUCUCAGUAAGCACUGACAGAAAUAGAAAAAGGCUCUCAGGACUGCAGCACAUAUCUGAAAGGGGACAACUGGCAAUAUAAAUCGGAUUAUGGGAGGGAGCUCUUACUCCUAAUGCCAUGUGCAAUCUGUGGAAGUACUCGACACCGGAACAGAUGUUGGUGUGCCGCGGGCUGCAGAGUCUGUGUAGACAAGGAGUGCCUGUUUGAGGAUUAACCCUGCAGGUAGCUCGUGUGAGGGUAAACACAACUGCCUCUUUGUGCAAAGUGACAAUAUACACAGCUGGGUGAAUGUGAUGCAGCAAUUUGGCUGAGGGCAAAAUCCUAGAGGAAGAUCUAGGAAGACUGAAUGAUGGUGUUGGUAUUGGAAGUCUUAACUAAUGAUGUCCUUACUUAUCUCCAUUUUUUUUUCCCCUGAAAGGAGAAUAAGCAUUUUGGUCUUAGCUGUGCAUUAAGGUAACUUUUAACAUGAUCUAACUCCCUCAUAGCCACAUCCCAAACAGGGCAAGACAAACUUCCUUGGAAGUAUGUAACAAGACAGUAACUGACUUCACCUACAUCUGAGCAUGCAGCCCUUCCAACCCCACUGUCAGGGCUUCCAACACAGAUGCAAUACUUCCCUUCAGCCCUUCUCCAUCUCUCUGGAACCCUUCUUCUUUUGCUUCCCCCUUUUUAAAUAAAAAAGGCAAAUGGUAAAAUGUCACAUGAGCAUUCAGGGGGCUGUGUGGGAUAAGACAGUGUAAGGCCAUGGCACCAGAUAACAACUGGUUCUAUUACUUGGGUGGAAAUUGCCCAUCAUGUAAAAUGGAAAGUGGCAGGUUUGCUCAGGACUUUGUGAGGCAGUCAGAUUGAGGUUCAUGGAGGAGUUGGGUUUUAUUCAUAGCUUGGUUAUUUUGGUCUAGUAGACCCUGAUUUUUUCUGCCGUAAAUAUACAUAAUUUUAUUUGAUUCUUCAUGAAGUUCAGAAGGAAGUUAAAAGAAAUUGAGAGAAAAAAAAUUUCAAAACAGAAAUAGACUGCCAGCAUUUCUUUUGCUAUCCUAUUACAAUAUUCUGACUUUAAUCUAAACCUUCCCAUUGGGAUACAUAUCUACAUUUUACUUUAGCUAAAGACAGAAUUAAUUUGAAAAUCGUUACAAGAAAGAGAAUGCUUAUCAAGACACCAUCAUCUUGACUGUGCAGAGACAAAAGGUAGGCACCUUCCUCAACAGAACAGGCAAGACAUCUGUCACAGUAGAGGCUUCUGUGGUAUUAUUUAUUGCUUUUUUGGGUUUUUUCCCUCCUCUGAUAGCUUAGCUCAAAUCCUUGAUCAAAGCAACUAGGAAUUGUUCUGCUCAGAUGGCUUAGUGCAUUUUAAGUGGGAUGCAAUUUAGCACUCUCCCAUCUGACCAAAGCUAAAUCAGUAAAGAAAAACAAUUUCCAAGGACCAACACAUCCAUUUGCCCCUUGAGAGGCCAGACAAAGGUUGUGGCAUUAGAACAGAUUACCAACAUCUGCCUGCAGUGUGCUUUUGAUAAAAGGAACUGUUAGACUCUGAUGGCAGCGAGACUGUCCCUCUUUGCAAAACAGCAUUAGGUGUUUUCCAGAUCCCAGUAUUUCAGUUGCAUUGUGCUUGUUAUUGAGCAUUGUAAGAAGCAGUGCAGUGAGACUGGUGUAAUAGCAAGAAAUAAAAAGAGUAAAUCACAUCUCUGUGUACACUUUAGAGGUUCUGCAAUUUUUUUAAUGCGCAGUUUUCUUUGCUGCCACAUUUCCUUUGGGUUUGUAUGUCAUAUUGUUAAAUAAACUAAGCAAUGUUUGUUUCAAAAAGUGGUUAAUAAUGUACGUACCCCAUAGUCUACCAUAGCUUCAAACAGCCAAUUACUGUUAGACUGUUGCAUAAACACAUAUUUAGGAAGCAUGAAAAUGUGCAAUUAUUUACACUAUUCAGUACCUAAUACAUCAUAUUUGAGCUUCAAAAUGGGAAUUACUGACAUGAUGAAAUAUAAUGGCUCCAAACAAAUUGCUGUACUACAAGAGUGGCCCUGUAGAGCUGUACUCAUUAAACACACUUAUUAAAAAUUCUUAGUUUUUUGAAAUCAAUAAUCACUCAGUCACUUUAAAAAGCUCAUCAUCACCAAGUAUUUAAUCUGUAACUUCUUGCAAAAUCCUAUGGCUCAAGAGAGCUUUGCAAGUAUUAUAUCUGGGGAAAACAAAAAUAUUGAGGUUUGUGUUAAAGGAAUGAUGUGGAACUUAGUGAAGGUGAGUGGCAGCACCUGGCUAGAGACUGGACAGUAGCACAAACUAAAAAGGAAAACCUGAGUUAUUUUUACACACUGGCUGUAUUAAUUAAGCACAGCCUCUUCAGGAAAGAGGCCUAAGUCCUGCUUUCCAAAAGACAACUGUAGUUAAAUGACAUUAAUCUAUUUUAGGAAAAUGGCUGGAAUUAUUAUUCAAAAUGUGAUUCCAUUAUAUAAAUUAGGGCAUGUCUUCAGCUACUGAUUCAGCUCAUUUCUGUCACUGCCACCACAAAAACACUGCAAUGGAAAUAAGCUGGAACAAAGAAAUAUUCCGGGCUUUGCUGUACUUUUCCAUAAAGGGAAAAUUUAAUUAUUUUCUCUUGAGCUAAGGAAUGAUGUAUCUCUAGUUCUCAGAGUUCUGAGGAUUUGAGCAAUGACCAGUUCCUGAGAACAACAUUUUUGGGGUAAAAGUUAUAUUGCCCUCUCACAAUUUACAAAUGAAAAAGGACUGUGGUUUUAUUUUAUUUUAUAUACUGCUGCAUAUUCCACCCAUUAGUUUGCAAUUACAAGCUGGUGCUGCUAUUGGAAACCUGCUUCCUUGUGAUGUGAUUCCAGGUAUAUUUCAAAGAAGGUGGG